AAUAGGUCAGCUAAGUAAGGAGGGGCUAGUCCAUGAAUAAUUUUAUAGGUUAGUAACAGAACCUUAAAAUCUGAUCUCACUUGGACAGGAAGCCAGUGAAGAGACACAAAAAUUGGUAUAAUGUGGUCAAUCUUUCUGCUUCCUUGUCAAGAGUCUGGCAGCAGCAUUUUGAACCAAUUGGAGACCCCUAAUGCUGGACUGCAGUAAACCAGAAAAUAGAACAUUGCAGUAGAAAGAUCUAGAAGAAACAAAUGCAUGGAUCGGGGUCUC